rnacentral:rRNA from 1 species
AUUGAACGCUGGCGGAAUGCUUUACACAUGCAAGUCGAACGGCAGCACGGACUUCGGUCUGGUGGCGAGUGGCGAACGGGUGAGUAAUGUAUCGGAACGUGCCCAGUCGUGGGGGAUAACGUAGUGAAAAUUACGCUAAUGCCGCAUACGAUCUAUGGAUGAAAGCGGGGGAUCGCAAGACCUCGCGCGAUUGGAGCGGCCGAUAUCAGAUUAGGUAGUUGGUGGGGUAAAGGCCCACCAAGCCAACGAUCUGUAGCUGGUCUGAGAGGACGACCAGCCACACUGGAACUGAGACACGGUCCACACUCCUACGGGAGGCAUCAGUGGGGAAUUUUGGACAAUGGGCGAAAGCCUGAUCCAGCCAUUCCGCGUGCAGGAUGAAGGCCCUCGGGUUGUAAACUGCUUUUGUACAGAACGAAAAGGUUUCUACUAAUACUAGGAGCUCAUGACGGUACUGUAAGAAUAAGCACCGGCUAACUACGUGCCAGCAGCCGCCGCGG